CGAAGGGGUACCCUUCGGUGGGGAGACCGGCGCAGUUGUGAGUAACACGUGGGCAACCUACCCCAGGCUUCGGAAUAUCCUCGGGAAACCGGGGCUAAUGCCGAAUACGCUGAUCGAACCGCAUGAUUCGAUCAGGAAAGCUCCGGCGGACUGGGAUGGGCCCGCGGCCUAUCAGCUUGUUGGUGGGGUAGUGGCCUACCAAGGCGACGACGGGUAGCCGGCCUGAGAGGGUGACCGGCCACACUGGGACUGAGACGCGGCCCAGACUCCUACGGGAGGCAGCAGUGGGGAAUAUUGCGCAAUGGGCGGAAGCCUGACGCAGCGACGCCGCGUGGGGGAUGACGGCCUUCGGGUUGUAAACCUCUUUCAGCAGGGACGAAGCGGAAGUGACGGUACCUGCAGAAGAAGCACCGGCCAACUACGUGCCAGCAGCCGCGGUAAUACGUAGGGUGCAAGCGUUGUCCGGAAUUAUUGGGCGUAAAGAGCUCGUAGGCGGUUUGUCGCGUCGGCUGUGAAAUCCCGGAGCUCAACUCCGGGUCUGCAGUCGAUACGGGCAGACUUGAGUGUUGCAGGGGAGACUGGAAUUCCUGGUGUAGCGGUGAAAUGCGCAGAUAUCAGGAGGAACACCGGUGGCGAAGGCGGGUCUCUGGGCCGAUACUGACGCUGAGGAGCGAAAGCGUGGGGAGCGAACAGGAUUAGAUACCCUGGUAGUCCACGCUGUAAACGUUGGGCGCUAGGUGUGGGGGACCUCUCCGGUUCUCUGUGCCGCAGCUAACGCAUUAAGCGCCCCGCCUGGGGAGUACGGCCGCAAGGCUAAAACUCAAAGGAAUUGACGGGGGCCCGCACAAGCGGCGGAGCAUGCGGAUUAAUUCGAUGCAACGCGAAGAACCUUACCUGGGUUUGACAUCGCCGGAAAACUCGUAGAGAUACGGGGUCCUUCGGGGCCGGUGACAGGUGGUGCAUGGCUGUCGUCAGCUCGUGUCGUGAGAUGUUGGGUUAAGUCCCGCAACGAGCGCAACCCUCGUUCGAUGUUGCCAGCACGUUAUGGCGGGGACUCACCGAAGACUGCCGGGGUCAACUCGGAGGAAGGUGGGGAUGACGUCAAGUCAUCAUGCCCCUUAUGUCCAGGGCUUCACGCAUGCUACAAUGGCCGGUACAAAGGGAUGCGAUGCCGUGAGGUGGAGCGAAUCCCAAAAAGCCGGUC
rnacentral:rRNA from 1 species